AGUGACGAUAGCCUAGGAGAUACACCUGUACCCAUGCCGAACACAGAAGUUAAGCCCUAGAACGCCGGAAGUAGUUGGGGGUUGCCCCCUGUGAGAUAUGGAAGUCGCUUAGCU
rnacentral:rRNA from 9 species